rnacentral:lncRNA from 1 species
CAAUGACAAUCCACGUUUAAGUCACGUGAUACAAGUCCUCAAAGCUGUCACAGCGGGUGCCGAUGAGUUUUGAGUCGUAUUUUGUUCGACGAAACAACUCGGAACAUCUCGUAACAGUCGUAUUUUGUUCGAAUGUUAUUUAUGUUAAGGGGCGUGGCCUAUUUUUAUUCGUUUCAUUAUUUUGCACAAUUUGGCAACGUUUUGCGACAAUGUUUCGAAACAAUGGUGACGGGCUCGGAGUUACGUUUCGACGAUGUUGGAACAGGAUUUCUAACCUCACUAUUCUAUUUUCCGCGCCAAUUACCCGCAUUGCGCAUUGCACGGUGUCGUUUUAAUUAUUAUUGCAAUUAUUUUAAAGUUGUCAGUAGUUUAAGAUGGAGCCGUAUCGGUUGGACAUCCACCUUCGUGGCGGGGCCCUGCUCCAAGCUGCUUUAACCAUCGAGAGAUUUCUUGAAUUAAAGUCAGAUUUUGCUGUAACAGGAGAAUAUGCUAAAUUACUGUUAGAGACGGAAGUACUCAAUGGAACAUUAAACGAAAAAAACACUACUAUCGACCACAUUGAACUCUACGAUCAUGAAACGAUGGUUAAUUUCCUGGAGGAUGGAAUCCUGGAGGAUCUGCCGGAUGCAGAGUUAUUCCAUGAUGACCUGGAACCACCCAUGCCGGAAUUUGAUGAACAUGAAGAAAGGUCAACUUAUUGGACGCGGGUUCUUAAUUACAAGUAUGUUUCUGCGGCACAAUGAAGGUUCUGAUCCAGAAAUUGAGUUAGUCACAAAUGCAACAGAGUUACUCAUACAUAUAUAUGGCAGUGAUCAUGUCCAACAUAUGGUCAAAUCCCGAUCCAAAAAAGUGCGUACAUAUGGAUGAAUGUGGCGGAGCAACUGGCCAAACAUGGUUUUCCUAUUCCAGCAAAACCAGGAAAAACGAUCGGCAAACAGUGUGACGACAAGUUUCGAGGUAUAAAGAACAAGUAUCAAUCCAUUUGGCGCCAAAAACUGGGCAAGCAAGAACGAAGAAGCCUCCAUACUUUGACCUGAUGCAUAAAUACUUUGGCGACAAACAGAUCUCAGUACCUACUUGUCUAAAUGAUUCGCUUGCACGAAGGUGCGUGAUCGUAGUCCAAUUGUAUCAGCACACAAGCCCUCCACUCCGCCCGUUCCCACUACUUCUGCCACCUCCAACACUGCUGCAGCCUCCUCUUCUCCAACCUCCUCUUCUCCUGCGUCCUCUUCUCCUGCGUCCUCUUCUCCUGCCAUUCUUAACAAAUCACGCUUUCAGGCAAAGUCUGUACUUAAGCCCAAACCAGCAACUACAGGGGAUGUUUUAAAUUUGAUUGAAAAAACUAACGAAACAUCCAAAA